CCUACGGGUGGCAGCAGUGGGGAAUAUUGGACAAUGGGCGAAAGCCUGAUCCAGCCAUGCCGCGUGUGUGAAGAAGGCCUUCGGGUUGUAAAGCACUUUCAGUGGGGAAGAAAGCCUUGGGGCUAAUACCCUCGAGGAAGGACAUCACCCACAGAAGAAGCACCGGCUAACUCCGUGCCAGCAGCCGCGGUAAUACGGAGGGUGCGAGCGUUAAUCGGAAUUACUGGGCGUAAAGCGCGCGUAGGCGGUCUGAUAAGCCGGUUGUGAAAGCCCCGGGCUCAACCUGGGAACGGCAUCCGGAACUGUCAGGCUAGAGUGCAGGAGAGGAAGGUAGAAUUCCCGGUGUAGCUGUGAAAUGCGUAGAGAUCGGGAGGAAUAGCAGUGGCGAAGGCGGCCUUCUGGACUGACACUGACGCUGAGGUGCGAAAGCGUGGGUAGCAAACAGGAUUAGAUACCGAGUGUC
rnacentral:rRNA from 1 species